CAUCUAACUUCUCACAUCUCACUUCUCAAGAGUGGCGGACGGGUGAGUAACGCGUGGGCAACCUGCCCCAAAGCUCGGGAUAACACUCCGAAAGGAGUGCUAAUACCGGAUGUAGUUGCGCUGCUGCAUGGCAGUGCAAAAAAAGGAGCAAUCCACUUUGGGAUGGGCCCGCGUCUGAUUAGCUAGUUGGUGGGGUGACGGCCUACCAAGGCGACGAUCAGUAGCCGACCUGAGAGGGUGAUCGGCCACACUGGGACUGAGACACGGCCCAGACUCCUACGGGAGGCAGCAGUCGGGAAUAUUGGUCAAUGGGGGAAACCCUGAACCAGCAAUGCCGCGUGAGUGAUGAAGGUUUUCGGAUCGUAAAGCUCUGUCUUUGGGGACGAAUCAAUGACGGUACCCGAGGAGGAAGCCCCGGCUAACUACGUGCCAGCAGCCGCGGUAAUACGUAGGGGGCGAGCGUUGUCCGGAAUUACUGGGCGUAAAGGGCGAGUAGGCGGUUUAAUAAGUCAGAUGUGAAAUACUGAGGCUUAACCUCAGGGCUGCAUUUGAAACUAUUA
rnacentral:rRNA from 1 species